GCAGUGUUGUAGGUCUUAUUUAGAACACAAGGCCUUGGGCGGGGUUCUGGGAAACUGGCUUGCUUAAGGUAAUUCUGUGGUAGAAGCGGGCAGGGAUAGCGCCCUGGUAGAGCUUAAUGGUUUUUGGUGACAGGGUAACUUUUUGAGAACAUUUUUUCUCAGAAAGACUAUCCUCCUUUGAAAAUGGUGGGCACAUUUUUUUAAUCCAACCUGUUUUUAUCCCAUUUUUAUCUCAUGCUAAGAAAGAACAGUGAUCUUCCACAAAGAGCUUUGAAUGACAGCAAAAAUGACCUUGUGAUAUAUCAUUUCAUAUGGUACACCCCACCCAGAAACGGCUGUCACCACCAUGGGAGUUUUCCUCCAUGAAAUCCAGGAGUAGGUCUUGAGGGAUUUGUAUAUGGGAGGCAGACUUUGAACAACAACUACAAAAAAAAAUCACAAGAACAACGAAUCAGAAUUUGAGGCACCUUUAAAUACAAGAUGAAGUAAAGGCUCAGAAUGUGAACUGUUUGGUCAUUUGGUCAUUUUCACGCAAGCUUUAAACUCUUUAUACCCCACCCAGCAUUUCUCAAGUCCUACUUUUUAGUGAAGAAACCUCAGAUAGAAAAAUACCAGAAAAUCUGAAUGAACAAUCAGGAGAGAUCUUAAAACUCAGGGACAUUUGAAAGAGGCAUCACACAUCUGUAACCUACCCUUGAAGUAAGGCAGGGUUGAAAUGUAAGAAGAAAAAUGUUCUUUGUUGCAGGCAAGGUAUGAAGAUUUCUGCUGUCAUAUUUGAUGCCAUAUUUAUCUCAUCUUAAUUCUAAUAUCUCUCUCUCUCUCUCUCUCUCUCUCUCUCUCUCUCUCUCUCUCUCUCUCUCUCUCUCUCGCACACACACACACACAGUCUUUUCUGCAGCAGAAGCUAGUAUAGACCGAAGCACCAUGCACCACCUUGAAAGGUCUUCAUUUCUGCCAUAGAUAUCCAGCACACCUGGACAUCCAGCACAUCUGGGCAUCCAGCACACCUGGGCAUGCAGCACAUCUGGGCAUCCAGCACACCUGGGCAUGCAGCACACCUGGACAUCCAGCACACCUGGGCAUACAGCACACCUGGACAUCCAGCACACCUGGACAUCCAGCAC
rnacentral:lncRNA from 1 species